rnacentral:rRNA from 1 species
UACCUGCAGCUCGAGUGGUAACCGCUAUUAUUGGGCCUAAAGCGUCCGUAGCCGGUUUGGUAAAUAUCUGGGUAAAUCGUGAGGCUUAACUUCACGAAUUUCGGAUAGACUGCCAGACUUGGGAUCGGGGGAGGUCAGAGGUACUCCAGGGGUAGCGGUGAAAUGUUGUAAUCCUUGGAGGACCACCGGUAGCGAAGGCGUCUGACUAGAACGAGUCCGACGGUGAGAGACGAAGCCCUGGGGCGCAAACCGGAUUAGAUACCCGGGUAGUCCAGGGUGUAAACAAUGUGGGCUUUGUAUUGGAUGUCCCACGUGGGCGUCCAGUGCAGAAGAGAAGUUGUUAAGCCCACCGCCUGGGAAGUACGGUCGCAAGGCUGAAACUUAAAGGAAUUGGCGGGGAGCACAGCAACGGGAGGAGCGUGCGGUUU